rnacentral:rRNA from 1 species
UACCCGCAGCACAAGUGGUGGUCACUAUUAUUGGGCCUAAAGCGUCCGUAGCUGGCCUGUUAGAUGCCUGGGUAAAUCGAUGCGCUCAACGUAUCGAACUCCGGGUAGACCGGCAGGCUUGGGACCGGGAGAGAUGUGAGCUACUCGAGGGGUAGGGGUAAAAUCCUGUAAUCCUUCGGGGAGGACCAGUGGCGAAGGCGUCACAUUAGAACGGCUCCGACAGUGAGGGACGAAGCCCUGGGGCGCAAACCGG